rnacentral:sRNA from 1 species
GAAUUUUGUUCUGCCUUCUUGAUUCUUUGUUUGGCAUAUUUCUCUCGAUCGCUUUAUCAUGACGGAAGACGAUUUGGAGCGACAAAUCCAUUAAGAUUUGUAGCGAUAACCACUGUAAGAAUUCUUCUAAUCCACUUGAUUUCUAGGGUUUCUAAAUUUUGCUAUUAUCAUGUUUUUGUUUGGUUCUCUUUUCGUUUUGCAAAACCAAACGAAUCGCGACUCUGCGUUUCAAAGUUUCUGUGAAUUAAAGAUUGUUGCUUUCUUCCUUUUUGUGUUAGGUUUUGGUUUUCGUUUUGUUUUUUUUGUACCGCUUUAUUGUUGCGAUCGGUUGUGGUUUUGUUGCUCUUGUUUUGCUGUUUUGUUUGUUUGAUUUCUUCAUUGUUUUGUUUUUCUUUCAAACCCAAGAGAAAUCAUAGGCAGACACUCAACUAUUAGUGUUCUGUCAGAUUCUUUCUUGGGGACAUUGUCCCGUCAAGUUGGCUUAUGAGGGAUUUUGACCUGAGACUGAAAACCGAUCUUUUACCCACGGCUUAUUAUUUUGACAAAUAUACUUGGAAUUGGUUUCAGUUUACUGGUCAAAGAUCAAGUUACCCACGGCUUAAAACUUUAGUCUUUAGACUUAGACUUGAGACUGAACAUUGAUCCUUCUUUGUACCCAUGGCUUUAAAAUCUCUAGACAUAUGGAUCAUGUUCAGUUUCUUGUUUCAGUUUUUAGACAAAGCUCAAGUUACCCACGGCUUAAAAAAGUCUUUAGACAGAGACGGCUUAAGAAAGUCUUUAGACAGAGACUUAAGGGACAAAAUUCGGAUUGGGUUAUGUUUGGUGCAAGGAAAAGAGGGUACCCACGGCUUCAAACACACAUUGAUCCUUGAUUCGAACUUUAGACAAUUACCCACGGCUUUAGAAAUAAAAGUCUGAACAUUGAUCUUGUUUGGUACCCGCGGCUUUAAAAUCUAUAGA